rnacentral:rRNA from 1 species
AGGAUAAACGCUGGCGGCGUGCCUAACACAUGCAAGUCGAACGUCUCUUUCUUCGGGAAGAGGAGUGGCGGACGGGUGAGGAACACGUGGGAACCUGCCCUCCAGUGAGGAAUACCGGCGAGAAAUCGCCGACAAGACCGCAUAGCCUUCUCUGGUGAGAGCCAGAGAAGGAAAGCUUCGCAAGAGGCGCUGGAGGAGGGGCCUGCGUCCGAUUAGCUAGUUGGUGGGGUAAGAGCCUACCAAGGCGUCGAUCGGUAGCUGGUCUGAGAGGACGAUCAGCCACACUGGGAUUGAGAACGGCCCAGACUCCUACGGGGGGCAGCAGUGAGGAAUUUUCGGCAAUGGGGGAAACCCUGACCGAGCAACGCCGCGUGCAGGAAGACGGCCUUCGGGUUGUAAACUGCUUUCUCAGGGAAGAAGUUCUGACGUGUACUUGAUGAAUAAGCAUCGGCUAACUCCGUGCCAGCAGCCGCGGUAA